CUACGGGAAGGAGGUAUAAACAAAGAAUAUAACAAUGUUAUGUUGUUGGGAGUUUGACAUUUCAACAUCACCAACAUCCCAAGCAAUCCCACCAUGUGACCCAGAUAGUCAAGAUGAUGAGCUGGAUAGUGUACUUCCACCAACAGAAUUACAUCAGCCAACUGAUUGUAUAACUGUUUAUAUUGCCAAUAAACCCUGUUUGCCCUGACAGACAUUCAUACACACAGAAUGAUGGAAGAAGCGUUGUAUGAAAUGGAGGAAAUUCAACACUAUCGCAACACUAUAUAUAAAUCUAUUGACUACUGUGUGAUGCGUUGCAAGGAUAUUUCUGAUCAACCAGUUAUAUAUGCUCAAAUGAUCAACCAGUUGUCUAUUAUUUUACUCUGCCUAAUGCCAGAUUAUUUUACUGUCUAACAAUAGACUAUUUACUCAUCAGGGGGAGAGUGCUGACACUCAAAUACUCAAUGGGUUAAAAAACAUUGAAAGAAAAUGUUUAGCAGAAGCUGCAAAAUUGUUUAUUGGUGUCUGGUGUAAUACUGAUAUUUCUUUUAUAUGUAAGGAUAGAGCUGGGGAACUUGUAGUGGUACAGUCCUGGCCCUACCCAUGUUUUCCUGUACUGCAUGUGUUUUCGUCACUAUUAUACCAUGUAUAUAUAUCACUUGAUUAUACCAUAAGUAUAUCCCAUGUAUGGACACCAUCUUACAGUUCUGCAGUUUUUUGACAAUCUACCGUAAACCUCCACCUAAAAGCACUGGGCUUAUAUUCUUUCGUAAGCAAUUUUUGAUGGGCUUACACAAGGGGGGCUUGUACACGGG